ACGCUGGCGGCGUGCCUAAUACAUGCAAGUAGAACGCUGAAGAGAGGAGCUUGCUCUUCUUGGAUGAGUUGCGAACGGGUGAGUAACGCGUAGGUAACCUGCCUUGUAGCGGGGGAUAACUAUUGGAAACGAUAGCUAAUACCGCAUAACAAUGGAUGACACAUGUCAUUUAUUUGAAAGGGGCAAUUGCUCCACUACAAGAUGGACCUGCGUUGUAUUAGCUAGUAGGUGAGGUAACGGCUCACCUAGGCGACGAUACAUAGCCGACCUGAGAGGGUGAUCGGCCACACUGGGACUGAGACACGGCCCAGACUCCUACGGGAGGCAGCAGUAGGGAAUCUUCGGCAAUGGGGGCAACCCUGACCGAGCAACGCCGCGUGAGUGAAGAAGGUUUUCGGAUCGUAAAGCUCUGUUGUAAGUCAAGAACGAGUGUGAGAGUGGAAAGUUCACACUGUGACGGUAGCCUACCAGAAAGGGACGGCUAACUACGUGCCAGCAGCCGCGGUAAUACGUAGGUCCCGAGCGUUGUCCGGAUUUAUUGGGCGUAAAGCGAGCGCAGGCGGUUUGAUAAGUCUGAAGUUAAAGGCUGUGGCUCAACCAUAGUUCGCUUUGGAAACUGUCAAACUUGAGUGCAGAAGGGGAGAGUGGAAUUCCAUGUGUAGCGGUGAAAUGCGUAGAUAUAUGGAGGAACACUGGUGGCGAAAGCGGCUCUCUGGUCUGUAACUGACGCUGAGGCUCGAAAGCGUGGGGAGCGAACAGGAUUAGAUACCCUGGUAGUCCACGCCGUAAACGAUGAGUGCUAGGUGUUGGAUCCUUUCCGGGAUUCAGUGCCGCAGCUAACGCAUUAAGCACUCCGCCUGGGGAGUACGACCGCAAGGUUGAAACUCAAAGGGAAUUGACGGGGGCCCGCACAAGCGGUGGA
rnacentral:rRNA from 1 species